UACGAGGGGGGCAAGCGUUGUUCGGAAUUAUUGGGCGUAAAGGGCGCGUAGGCGGUUUGACAAGUCUGAUGUGAAAUCUCUGGGCUCAACCCAGAGUCUGCAUUAGAAACUGUCGGGCUUGAGUAUGGGAGAGGUGAGUGGAAUUUCCGGUGUAGCGGUGAAAUGCGUAGAUAUCGGAAGGAACACCUGUGGCGAAAGCGGCUCACUGGACCAUAACUGACGCUGAGGCGCGAAAGCUAGGGGAGCAAACAGGAUUAGAUACCCUGGUAGUCCUAGCCCUAAACGAUGAUUGCUUGGUGUGACAGGUACCCAAUCCUGUCGUGCCGAAGCUAACGCGAUAAGCAAUCCGCCUGGGGAGUACGGUCGCAAGGCUGAAACUCAAAG
rnacentral:rRNA from 1 species